GAUGAACGCUAGCGGCAGGCCUAACACAUGCAAGUCGAGGGGUAGAAGGCGCUCGCUUCUUUGCGACCGGCGCACGGGUGCGUAACACGUAUGCAAUCUACCUUGUACAGGGGAAUAGCCCAGAGAAAUUUGGCUUAAUCCCCCAUCGUAUAUAACCUUCGCAUGGUGGUUAUCUUAAAGUUCCAACGGUACAAGAUGAGCAUGCGUUCCAUUAGUUAGUUGGUAAGGUAACGGCUUACCAAGACGAUGAUGGGUAGGGGUGCUGAGAAGGAGAUACCCCAGAAUGGAACCGAGGCACAGACCAGACUGCGACGGAGGGGAGGAGUAGGGAAGACUAGGGGAGGGAGGCUAGACUGACCCAGCCAUGCGGCGGACAAGAGCACGGGCGUAGGGAUUGUAAACUGCUUUGAAACAAGAAGAAACCCUCACACGAGUGGGGGCUUGACGGUACUGUAAGAAUAAGGACCGGCUAACUACGUG
rnacentral:rRNA from 1 species